rnacentral:rRNA from 1 species
GUCCAGACUCCUACGGGAGGCAGCAGUGGGGAAUAUUGCACAAUGGGGGAAACCCUGAUGCAGCGACGCCGCGUGAGUGAAGAAGUAUUUCGGUAUGUAAAGCUCUAUCAGCAGGGAAGAAAAUGACGGUACCUGACUAAGAAGCCCCGGCUAACUACGUGCCAGCAGCCGCGGUAAUACGUAGGGGGCAAGCGUUAUCCGGAUUUACUGGGUGUAAAGGGAGCGUAGACGGUGAUGCAAGUCAGAAGUGAAAGCCCGGGGCUCAACUCCGGGACUGCUUUUGAAACUGUGUGACUGGAGUGCAGGAGAGGUAAGCGGAAUUCCUGGUGUAGCGGUGAAAUGCUUAGAUAUCAGGAGGAACAUCGGUGGCGUAAGCGCUUUACUGGGCCGUAAUUGACGCUGAGGAACGAAAGCCAGGGUAGCAAAUGGGAUUAGAUACCCUUGUA